rnacentral:rRNA from 1 species
CCUACGGGAGGCAGCAGUGGGGAAUUUUGGACAAUGGGCGAAAGCCUGAUCCAGCCAUGCCGCGUGAGUGAAGAAGGCCUUCGGGUUGUAAAGCUCUUUCAGACGGAAAGAAAUUGCUUCGGUGAAUAUCCGGAGUAGAUGACGGUACCGUAAGAAGAAGCACCGGCUAACUACGUGCCAGCAGCCGCGGUAAUACGUAGGGUGCGAGCGUUAAUCGGAAUUACUGGGCGUAAAGGGUGCGCAGGCGGUUAUAUAAGACAGAUGUGAAAUCCCCGGGCUCAACCUGGGAACUGCGUUUGUGACUGUAUAACUAGAGUACGGUAGAGAGGGGUGAAUUCCUGGUGUAGCAGUGAAAUGCGUAGAUAUCAGGAGGAACAUCGAUGGCGAAGGCAGCCCCUUGGACCUGUACUGACGCUCAUGCACGAAAGCGUGGGGAGCAAACAGGAUUAGAUACCCUGGUAGUCCACGCCCUAAACGAUAGUACGACUAGUUAGUACGGGAAGGUGUACUUCUUAGAGUAACGUAGCUAACGCGUAGAAGUCGACCGCGUAGGGGACGUACGGUCGACGAAGUAACUUAAAACGNAAAGUGAAAGUUGACGGU